GACGAACGCUGGCGGCGUGCCUAAUACAUGCAAGUCGAGCGAGCGGAACUAACAGAUUUACUUCGGUAAUGACGUUAGGAAAGCGAGCGGCGGAUGGGUGAGUAACACGUGGGGAACCUGCCCCAUAGUCUGGGAUACCACUUGGAAACAGGUGCUAAUACCGGAUAAGAAAGCAGAUCGCAUGAUCAGCUUUUAAAAGGCGGCGUAAGCUGUCGCUAUGGGAUGGCCCCGCGGUGCAUUAGCUAGUUGGUAAGGUAAAGGCUUACCAAGGCGAUGAUGCAUAGCCGAGUUGAGAGACUGAUCGGCCACAUUGGGACUGAGACACGGCCCAAACUCCUACGGGAGGCAGCAGUAGGGAAUCUUCCACAAUGGACGCAAGUCUGAUGGAGCAACGCCGCGUGAGUGAAGAGGGUUUUCGGAUCGUAAAGCUCUGUUGUUGGUGAAGAAGGAUAGAGGUAGUAACUGGCCUUUAUUUGACGGUAAUCAACCAGAAAGUCACGGCUAACUACGUG
rnacentral:rRNA from 1 species